rnacentral:snoRNA from 1 species
GUGAUGUGGCGCGUGAGGUCGGAGGAGUGAAGAGUUUUCCAGGGCUGA